AUGGCUGUCCUGGGGCUGCUCCUCUGCCUGGUGACCUUUCCAAGCUGUGUCCUGUCACAAGUGCAGAUGAAGGAGUCAGGACCUGACCUUGUGCAGCCAUCACAGACUCUGUCUCUCACCUGCACUGUCUCUGGGUUCUCAUUAAGUAGCUAUGGUGUACAUUGGUUUCGCAAGCCUCCGAGAAAGGGAUUGGAAUGGUUGGGAGGAAUAUGGUCUGGUGGAAGCAUAUACUAUACUCCAGCUCUCAGUUCCCGACUGAGUGUCAGCAGGGACACCUCUAAGAGCCAAGUUUUCUUUAAAAUGAGCAGUCUGCAAAGUGAAGACACGGCUGUGUACCACUGUGCCAGAUA